rnacentral:lncRNA from 1 species
CCGGAACGGGGAUAGGGGAAGUUUCUUCCCCACGGAAACGAGGAUGGGGAAGCACUCCCCGACGGGGAAUUCCCCGUUGACAUCUCUAGAGAUGAGUGGCGGCGUUGCGUUGCUAGGAGCCGGCGGUGUGUGGGUUUGAUGGACCACUAAAUCAAAGCCCAUACAUUUUUUUCUCUUUUAUUUUCCUUUUUUUUAGCAACUUCUAUUUUUUUUCUAACAUCUUUUGACA